GAUGAACGCUGGCGGAGUGCUUAACACAUGCAAGUCGAACGAUGAAGCCCAGCUUGCUGGGUGGAUUAGUGGCGAACGGGUGAGUAACACGUGAGUAACCUGCCCUUAACUCUGGGAUAAGCCUGGGAAACUGGGUCUAAUACCGGAUAGGAGCGUCCACCGCAUGGUGGGUGUUGGAAAGAUUUAUCGGUUUUGGAUGGACUCGCGGCCUAUCAGCUUGUUGGUGAGGUAAUGGCUCACCAAGGCGACGACGGGUAGCCGGCCUGAGAGGGUGACCGGCCACACUGGGACUGAGACACGGCCCAGACUCCUACGGGAGGCAGCAGUGGGGAAUAUUGCACAAUGGGCGAAAGCCUGAUGCAGCGACGCCGCGUGAGGGAUGACGGCCUUCGGGUUGUAAACCUCUUUCAGUAGGGAAGAAGCGAAAGUGACGGUACCUGCAGAAGAAGCACCGGCUAACUACGUG
rnacentral:rRNA from 1 species